AUCUCCAGCUACUGCUACUAUCUGUCACUGUGUUACUAGCUAGCUCAGGUACUCUCAACAUUCUCUGAUUCACGUACAGAUCGGUUGGCAGAAUGUCUCUGCUGCUUUGUUGGGCAGUGAUGGCUCUGCACCUCGCAACAGGGCUGGCUGCUGCCUCGGGGGUGGUGAACACUACAGAGGAGGAGGUGGAAGGGGUGGACUCCCAGUCACCAUGCCCAGCCGGGUGGCAUCAGAAUGAGCAUCGCUGCUUCUCCUUCUACCCCGUCUGGGCCACCUGGGCCACUGCA